rnacentral:lncRNA from 1 species
CUGUGAUUCCCUAGCUCAAGUGCCCCCGCCCGCCCCAUGUUAAACCAAAUAUGAACAAAAAGCAAUAACAUUUUGUCACAACUGCCUUUUGCAGUGACCUUUGGAGGUCAGGCCACCGAUACAAGAUCUAAACCCAAAGGCAAUGUUCUGACCACUUGUGGCUGGCAGGCUGCCAUUCAAAAGAUGGAAAUGGCUGCAGGCCACCAAGAUUCUUGGCUGGGACAUUUUUAAUAAACAUAGAACAUAAGAGCAGCAUUUUCCACUUGGAUUGCUUAAUUUGGUGCCAUACCAUUGGAACGUUUGCUGUUAGGACAGAGAUGAUGUGAUAUAUAACUUAUUUAGCUCAGGAUGGAGUAACUUUCACCAAUGAGAAAUAGGUUAUGGAGUCAUCCCUGAGGAAUUUUCACCCUUGCUGCUCAUCUGGCAGGAGACAGCUUGAGUCAUAGCAGCAGUGACCCCCAUUCCGUGCCAGCUCUCGUGGCCCUCGGUAAGUUUGCCCUGAAACACCAGCUCUGCUGAGUGUGCUGCUAUGCACGUAUGGACAGAAGCAAAUUGGUGCGACUCUGGCUGAAGCCACGUCUUUAUGAAUACUUUUCCCAGAGAGUUCAAUGUGUCUGCAUAACUCUUCCGAGAAGAAAGCCUCCACAGCAACUGUCCUCUAAAGUGGAGAACAAUACUUGAGGCACAGACGCCUCAGGCCCUGAUGGAACUGAGUGACCAUAAUCUCUUCACUCAACCUGGCCUUCAUAGUCAUCUCAGUUGCACCCCAAGUCACUCCAGGGAUGAGAGGCCUGGUGACAGGAACUGGCGGCAGCAACCUUCUCCGGCUCAGGGUCCUACCAGAAUGCUGGAUGUAAAUGCGGACACUCGAAUCCCGGGAUUGUGGGUCCCUGCGCCCCCGCACCCUUUGGCUCCGACGUGCACAUAGGGGUGUUCUGCACCCGCCCUCGGCAGAGGUAGCUCCCGGCUGCUGGGGCAGGAGGAUUUGACCGGGCACGCGGUCCGGUCAGGCGGUGCGGGCAGGGGUCGGUUCUAGAGCAGGGCGCAGGG